GACGAACGCUGGCGGCGUGCUUAACACAUGCAAGUCGAACGGAAAGGCCCUGCUUUUGUGGGGUGCUCGAGUGGCGAACGGGUGAGUAACACGUGAGUAACCUGCCCUUGACUUUGGGAUAACUUCAGGAAACUGGGGCUAAUACCGGAUAGGAGCUCCUGCUGCAUGGUGGGGGUUGGAAAGUUUCGGCGGUUGGGGAUGGACUCGCGGCUUAUCAGCUUGUUGGUGGGGUAGUGGCUUACCAAGGCUUUGACGGGUAGCCGGCCUGAGAGGGUGACCGGCCAAAUUGGGACUGAGAUACGGCCGAGACUCCUACGGGAGGCAGCAGUGGGGAAUAUUGCACAAUGGGCGGAAGCCUGAUGCAGCAACGCCGCGUGCGGGAUGACGGCCUUCGGGUUGUAAACCGCUUCCGCCUGUGACGAAGCGUGAGUGACGGUAAUGGGUAAAGAAGCACCGGCUAACUACGUG
rnacentral:rRNA from 1 species